rnacentral:rRNA from 1 species
GAUUUCUGGUUAAGUAACGCUAGCCCGCCCUUGCCAGGGGUGUGCGCUGGUUAGUUGCUUGCCAUCUUUCUAGAGAGCCAGCAGCUGUCAUUCACUUGGCGGCUGUGACGCGAUCUAGAUCUUUUACUUUGAAAAAAUUAGAGUGUUUAAAGCAGGCUUACGCUAUGAAUACAUUAGCAUGGAAUAAUAAUAUAGGACUUCGGUCUUAUUUUGUUGGUUUCUAGGGCUGAAGUAAUGAUUGAUAGGGAUAGUUGGGGGUGCUAGUAUUCCGUGGCCAGAGGUGAAAUUCUUGGAUUCGCGGAAGACUAACUACUGCGAAAGCAUU